ensembl:lncRNA
UAGGAUGGCUAACCAGUGUGUUUGAGUUCUUAAAGAAUAUAUCAUUUGGCUGCUCUGAUCUGACCACGCAGUCUGGCAGCUGAGGUCAUGGGACUAGGAUUAUUCAAGACUAAGUUUCCAACCCAUCAAUCCAACAUUUAUUGAGGACUUCUUGUGGACAAAGGGCUCUGUUUGCCUUUGUCUGGAUAUUCAGAAGACCCAUGUGAACAAUGCAAAAUAAAGUAGCAGUAAAAGAGAACGGACAAAUACAGUCACAAGUUCAAAUGAUUCUACGUGGGAGGAGAUUAAAAAUGGUAAAGUAAGAACAAGCUGCAAAAUAGACCCUCUUUGAAAUGUGAAUCAAAACAUUUUGAAAACAACCUAGCAAAGAAAAAAGAAGUAGAACUCUGGGAAUCAAGAAAAAGCUGGUAGGAAAACUAGAAACUAGAGAGAAACUGAAAAGGAUGCAAAGAAAAGAACAAAGGAGACUGGAACACUAACCCUGGCUCCCAGGGAGGAGGUCCUAUCUCCACCAACACAAGAGCUGGGGAAUCAAGACUUGAGAAGGUUGGACACUGAGAAGACACUCAGAUAUUCUGCUGAUUAAGUUAAAAAUGGAUACAAACAUCAAGACACAACCAAACUCAAGGACAUGUCACAGGGAGACAAACCUAACUAAAGAGAUCUCCACAGUAGCAAUAGUUUCUCUACCCUAACUGACCUUCAACUCAGAGCAAAAAAAUGAUAGAAACAUGAGAAAAUCAGGCAAGAAGAUGCCUUCCAAAGACCCCUAGCUCCCAAAAAUCUGAUCUCGUGGACACUAAAGUAGAGGAAACUAUGGGCAAAGAACUCAAAACCAAAUGGUCAAAAUGUUUAAAGAGAUUAAAGAAGAAAAAUAUAAGCAAACACAUAAGAUGUUUAAUGAGCUGAGAGAGAAUUUAAUUAAAAAGAUAAUGGAUUUUACUAAUAAAAUGUUCAAUGAGUACAAAGGAAAAACAAACAAUGAAAUAAUUGAGCUAAACAAGAUGAUACAAGACAUGAAUGACCACUUUGGAAAAUAACUAGAAAGUAUGAAAAGAAAGCAAGCAGAAAAAGAUGGUAUUAAGAUAUCAAAUGGAAAACAUGGG